UUACCUUUAGCAGACAGCGACAGAGAGGGACAGAAAAGCAAGAGGAGAGACAAGUAAUAAAGGCGUUAUUUUCUUUUUUUACAAACUCAGGAUGCGCGGCGGGGAGCAGCUGUAGGGACAGGGGGAUCGAGGAGUGGACAGUCUUUAACAGGUCCGAAGCGCACUUUUCAACACCCCCGUCAUCCGACAAGAAUAUGAUCCGGUCAAAUCAUAUGGACAUGCCUCAUUAUUCAAUGAACACUAUCUCUCACAACGCAUCGUUUACGCGCAGGAGUUAGCCGGCGCUUCGCCAAAUUUAAAAGGCUCUUGUCGUCCCACCUUCUGUGGAGCUGUCGGCGCUCUUCCUGACAUCCGGCAUUCAUCGGAGCGGCGGCAGUCACACAGGGCUCCCUGAUCAGUGGCGACCAGAAGCGGAGCUGAAGCUGAGGUUGGCUUUACGGGGCUAAGCACACUGUCACGCUGUCCAAGAAAC